rnacentral:rRNA from 1 species
UGCAGUCGAGGGGCAGCACGUCUUCGGAUGGUGGCGACCGGCGCACGGGUGCGUAACGCGUAUACAAUCUACCUUAUAGAGGGGGAUAGCCCGGGGAAACCCGGAUUAAUACCCCAUAGUAUUAUGAAAUAGCAUUAUUUUAUAAUUAAACAUUUAUGGCUAUAAGAUGAGUAUGCGUCCUAUUAGUUAGUUGGUAAGGUAACGGCUUACCAAGACCGCGAUAGGUAGGGGUCCUGAGAGGGAGAUCCCCCACACUGGUACUGAGACACGGACCAGACUCCUACGGGAGGCAGCAGUGAGGAAUAUUGGACAAUGGGCGAGAGCCUGAUCCAGCCAUGCCGCGUGCAGGAAGACGGCCCUAUGGGUUGUAAACUGCUUUUACAGAGGAAGAUACACCCCGACGUGUCGGGGCUUGACGGUACUCUGCGAAUAAGGAUCGGCUAACUCCGUGCCAGCAGCCGCGGUAAUACGGAGGAUCCAAGCGUUAUCCGGAAUCAUUGGGUUUAAAGGGUCCGUAGGCGGGACAAUCAGUCAGCGGUGAAAGUCUGUGGCUCAACCAUAGAAUUGCCAUUGAUACUGUUGUUCUUGAAUACUUAUGAAGUGGUUGGAAUAUGUAGUGUAGCGGUGAAAUGCAUAGAUAUUACAUA